rnacentral:rRNA from 1 species
GAUGAACGCUAGCGGCAGGCUUAAUACAUGCAAGUCGAGGGGUAGCAAGAUUGUAGCAAUACAAUUGUUGACGACCGGCAAACGGGUGCGGAACACGUACACAACCUUCCUACAAGUGGGGAAUAGCCCAGAGAAAUUUGGAUUAAUACCCCGUAACAUAGCGAUGUGGCAUCACAUUGCUAUUAUAGCUUCGGCGCUUGUUGAUGGGUGUGCGGCUGAUUAGAUAGUUGGCGGGGUAACGGCCCACCAAGUCUACGAUCAGUAGCUGAUGUGAGAGCAUGAUCAGCCACACGGGCACUGAGACACGGGCCUGACUCCUACGGGAGGCAGCAGUAAGGAAUAUUGGACAAUGGACGCAAGUCUGAUCCAGCCAUGCCGCGUGAAGGAUUAAGGUCCUCUGGAUUGUAACUUCUUUUAUAAGGGACGAAAAAGGUACUUUACUAGAUCGUCUGACGGUACCUUAUGAAUAAGCACCGGCUAACUCCGUCG